GUCUGGAUCUUCAGAAAAGUAAAACAUCAAACUAAUUAGCGUAAUAUGUUUAAAUUUAGAUAAUAUAUUUUUUAAAGUUUAGUUUUCACGACGUUGUGUCCAGUGUGCAUACCUUUAGUAGCUUUGGGACACCCGAUGAUGUCCCAAAGCAAAAUUUUUGGCAAGCUGGUUGGUAAGCAUGCCUUGCUGGAUGCUUGAUGCUGAAGGAAAUCUGCCUACCUGAUGGUAGAGGUAAAGGUGGCACAAGGCUAGCAGCUCAUUGGCACAGUGGAAGCUAAACCAGAGAACUCUCAUGCUCCUGUCAUGAAAUGUUCCAAUUUCCAGAUGACCAAACCUACACUUUUGCUGAUGGUGGUGAAAGGGAAGACUUGUCCCGGGAGCCGCGUAUGCAUUGAGGCACUGCUAACCAUCCUACCUCGCAGAGACCUGCACCCUCGCCUGGUGUCGAAUCCCUCAAUGUCUUUGUGGCAUCCUGCUACACUUACUCCUGUCGUCCUGUAGAGAUGGCCAUCGAUGACCGACUAGACUACACAACUCAAGGUGUUUACUUUGGAUGCCCUCCCAGGCACUCCUCCCAGGGCUUAAUGACUGGAUUUACUGCAUCAAUUAGCCAUCAGGGUCUCUGAGAGGCCUGGCUGGCUGAUCGAUUGUUCUGUAGCAGCUGAUGUCCCCUCGCCGUGCUGUUCUGCACUGCUCUGGACCAUGCUAACUGCAUGUCUGAAUGUAAACCUAGUACAAUGUAAUUAAAUUAAAUAAAACAUUUUCUACUCAAGGUUAUUAUUGGAUUCUUUCUAAUGUUUAUUCACUUGAGAUGUUAAGACUUUUGCAUAUGU
rnacentral:lncRNA from 8 species